rnacentral:rRNA from 2 species
UGGGGAAUAUUGCACAAUGGGGGAAACCCUGAUGCAGCAACGCCGCGUGAGUGAUGACGGUCUUCGGAUUGUAAAGCUCUGUCUUUGGGGACGAUAAUGACGGUACCCAAGGAGGAAGCCACGGCUAACUACGUGCCAGCAGCCGCGGUAAUACGUAGGUGGCGAGCGUUAUCCGGAAUUAUUGGGCGUAAAGGGAGCGUAGGCGGAUAAUUAAGUGGGAUGUGAAAUACUCAGGCUCAACCUGGGGGCUGCAUUCCAAACUGAUUAUCUAGAGUGCAGGAGAGGAGAGUGGAAUUCCUAGUGUAGCGGUGAAAUGCGUAGAGAUUAGGAAGAACACCAGUGGCGAAGGCGACUCUCUGGACUGUAACUGACGCUGAGGCUCGAAAGCGUGGGGAGCAAACAGG